CCUACGGGAGGCAGCAGUGGGGAAUAUUUCACAAUGGGGUAAACCCUGAUGCAGCGACGCCGCGUGAGUGAAGAAGUAUUUCGGUAUGUAAAGCUCUAUCAGCAGGGAAGAAAAUGACGGUACCUGAUUAAGAAGCCCCGGCUAACUACGUGCCAGCAGCCGCGGUAAUACGUAGGGGGCAAGCGUUAUCCGGAUUUACUGGGUGUAAAGGGAGGGUAGACGGCAGCACAAGUCUGACGUGAAAUGCCGGGGCUUAACCCCGGAACUGCUUUGGAAACUGUGCAGCUAGAGUGCAGGAGAGGUAAGUGGAAUUCCUAGUGUAGCGGUGAAAUGCGUAGAUAUUAGGAGGAACACCAGUGGCGAAGGCGGGUUACUGGACUGUAACUGACGUUGAGGCUCGAAAGCGUGGGGAGCAAACAGGAUUAGAUACCCUGGUAGUC
rnacentral:rRNA from 1 species